GAUGAACGCUGGCCGCGUGCCUAAUACAUGCAAGUCGAGCGAACGGACGAGAAGCUUGCUUCUCUGAUGUUAGCGGCGGACGGGUGAGUAACACGUGGAUAACCUACCUAUAAGACUGGGAUAACUUCGGGAAACCGGAGCUAAUACCGGAUAAUAUUUUGAACCGCAUGGUUCAAAAGUGAAAGACGGUCUUGCUGUCACUUAUAGAUGGAUCCGCGCUGCAUUAGCUAGUUGGUAAGGUAACGGCUUACCAAGGCAACGAUGCAUAGCCGACCUGAGAGGGUGAUCGGCCACACUGGAACUGAGACACGGUCCAGACUCCUACGGGAGGCAGCAGUAGGGAAUCUUCCGCAAUGGGCGAAAGCCUGACGGAGCAACGCCGCGUGAGUGAUGAAGGUCUUCGGAUCGUAAAACUCUGUUAUUAGGGAAGAACAUAUGUGUAAGUAACUGUGCACAUCUUGACGGUACCUAAUCAGAAAGCCACGGCUAACUACGU
rnacentral:rRNA from 1 species